rnacentral:rRNA from 1 species
GUAGGGGGCGAGCGUUGUCCGGAUUCAUUGGGCGUGAAGAGCUCGUAGGCGGCUCAGUAAGUCGGCCGUGAAAGCCCGGGGCUCAACCCCGGGACGCCGGUCGAUACUGCUGUGGCUAGGGUCCGGUAGAGGAGAGUGGAAUUCCCGGUGUAGCGGUGAAAUGCGCAGAUAUCGGGAGGAACACCAGUAGCGAAGGCGGCUCUCUGGGCCGGUACCGACGCUGAGGAGCGAAAGCUAGGGGAGCAAACAGGAUUAGAUACCCUGGUAGUCCUAGCCGUAAACGAUGGGCACUAGGUGUGGCGGAUUCAUUGACAUCUGCCGUGCCGGAGCUAACGCAUUAAGUGCCCCCGCCUGGGGAUACGGUCGCAAGGCUA